rnacentral:misc_RNA from 1 species
AAUGUUCCACCUGGUACUGUCAUAGACAAUAAAGUCUGUCAUCCAAGGAACAAUGAUUUCUAUCUCUGUGCACAUGCUGGAAUGAUUGGAACUACAAGGCCCACACACUACCAUGUUUUAUUAGAUGAGGUUGGCUUUUCUGCUGACGAUCUUCAGGACCUAGUGCAUUCUCUAUCAUAUGUGUAUCAAAGAAGUACAACUGCGAUUUCUGUAGUUGCACCAAUAUGCUAUGCUCAUCUGGCUGCCACCCAGAUGGGAUCUUUCGUGAAGUUUGAAGAAACUUCUGAGACGUCUUCAAGUCAUGGUGGCUUAACCUCUGCUGGUGCUGUUCCUGUGCCUCAGCUGCCCAGAUUGCAGGACAAAGUAUGCAAUUCUAUGUUCUUUUGUUGAGGCUUUGAUCCAUUAUAUCAUAUCAUGUAAAUAUAAAACUUGAAGAUACCUUAUGUACAUGGUUUUGGGGGGGUUUCGACAGUCCUCAUUCAGGAGUUGAACCUUGCACGUAGGUUAAAUCUUGUUAGUUUGUGUUGAAGACAGAAUUAGCCGUGCACCUAGGCUUUUU